rnacentral:lncRNA from 1 species
GUGGUGUUAGGACACGAAGCAUAGCGGCUACGGUGGGCAGACUAAGCUGAUUUUCCGGGAAAAGGCUAGAACUACGAAGAAGCUUGUGCUGAGGCUUGAGUGCGUUGAGCAUAGGUGCAGAUGUAAGAGGAUGCUGGAUAUAAAGAGAUGUGAGCAUUCUGAACUGGGAGGACAGAAGAGGAGGAAGGGCCAAGACAUCCAAUUCUAA